UACGUAGGGUGCAAGCGUUGCCCGGAUUUAUUGGGCGUAAAGGGCGCGCAGGCGGCCGAGCACGUCCGUUGUGAAAUCGCCUGGCUCAACUGGGCGGGGUCAGCGGAUACGGCUAGGCUGGAGCAAGCUAGGGGGCAAUGGAAUUCCCGGUGUAGUGGUGGAAUGCGUAGAUAUCGUAAGGAAGACCAGUGGCGAAGGCGGGUCUCUGGACAGUUCCUGACGCUGAGGCACGAAGGUCAGGGGAGCAAACGGG
rnacentral:rRNA from 1 species